CGGGACGUAGCGCAGCCUGGUAGCGCACUUGCAUGGGGUGCAAGGGGUCGCGAGUUCGAAUCCCGCCGUCCCGACCA
rnacentral:tRNA from 2 species